UGAGAUCGAUUUAAAAAAUGUACAAAAAUGAACAACCAUUUCAAUUUUAAUGUAGUGUGAAUCAUUUUUUUUCCACCAAUUAUGACUUGGUCAUAGUGGUAAGGGAUUUCAACCUCUUAAACUAGUUUGAUUCUUGGAUGAAUAUUCGAUCUGGAUAACAGAAUGGACUUAUUAUGCCCUACAUGUUACUUCUUGAAAAUGUGUAUGUCAGCCCCAAAAUUUAUAUGGAUCAAGUUGGUGUAAUAAUAAGUACAUCAGUGAACUUUUCCUCAAAAAAGAAAGUACGUGGACUAUUGGCGGACUCAAUAAUGUUGGCUUGUUUAGAGUGAUAUUCUCUUCCUUUUUGACUCUUUUGUAUUGAAUAUUCUUAAGUUAACACCAGAACUUUCGGCAAUGGUGGAGUGGAUAAUUGGAUUGGUAUGGUGUUAAAAAAAAUGUUUUAUUGAUUUUUUUUUUUAAUGGAAGAAUGUUUUAUUGAUAUUAUUUGCUAUAUUUGUCUCAUUGUAAGUGUUCCUUUGAAUAGUGUACGACGUUGGGCAUCGAAUUUUUGCUUAAAGAGAUGCAACAUAGAGUAACAAGCUUAUAGUUAAUUUAUGUUCAGAGUUGAUAAUUAGUAUAUUUUUCAAAUUUACCAUUUAUAAAUUUUAUUCUUUACUUAUUGGGUUUGAUAAAUGAUGUAAAAUAAUUUGUAC
rnacentral:lncRNA from 1 species